GUCAGCAUGGUAUAGUGGUUUCAACGUUAGACUACAACACUGGAGACCAGGGUUUGAUUCCCUAGUUGGCC